GUAACAUCCUUUGUUUUAGAAGCUUUUCUAUGUUCCUCAUCGCUACGUAACUUCCUUUGUUUUAGAAGCUCUUCUAUGUUCCUCAUCACUAGAGAAAACCCGAAGUCAGAAGCACGCCGGCAUCCACUUGCGGCCGCCCUGCCUGAAUAUGACAUGGAUGGGUGUGACCAACGUAGAGUCUUCAGGAGGCUCGGUUUGGUAACUUAGGCAUAGUUAAUACAUCCACAUCAUUUUUCUAAAUUCUAUGUUCUUUCGUCUCUUUCUUCACAUUUAUUCAUCUAAAAAUGGAGGGAGAGGUUCAAAAUUUUUU
rnacentral:lncRNA from 1 species